UACUCACUAUUUAAUGUCUCACACUAGCCUUUAGCUACUCACUAAUUAAUGUCUCUCACUAGCCCUUAGCUUCUCACUAUUUAUUGUCUCACACUAGCCCUUAGCUACUCACUUUUUAAUGUCUCACACUAGCCUUAGCUACUCACUAUUUAAUGUCCUUAGCUAUUCACUAUUUAAUAGGUCUGAGACUAAGGUCAUUUGCAACCUUCAACCUUCUACAUAAAAAAUUUGAAGCCUUUGAAGGUUUAUUGUACAUCAAAAAAAAUCACCCGCCUCUGUUUAUAAUGUCUAAAUUAUAGUUCAGCCCACUAUAUAAAGUUGUGGUCUGGAUAGACAAUCCCUAUGUAAACUUUUGACCACUUUAUCUAUUAAUAACUACUAAUAAUGACGCUUCAAAGUCUUAUUUUCUGCUUCAAAUGGCAGCACUUCCAACCAAGCUUCAAAUCCUUUGGAAGCUUAAAGUUUGUCCUAGUCCUACUAUUUAAUUUCUCACACUAGCCCUUAGCUACUCACUAUUAUUUUAAUGUCUCGCACUAAAUAAUCACCCUACUCUCUGAACAUGCUCUUUCCUCAUUCUAGAACAUUCUAUUGUAUGAUAUGCAGUGUAUUGGGAGAUUUGCCACUUUGAAAAAGAAUUUUUAUGGAACAAUUUGGCCACAGCAACCUUAGCUAUGUGACAAUUCUAACCAAGCAAAUUGUAAUUUCAUUGUGGCAAGGAUACAGUCAGGCCAGCUAUUGUACCAUGAACACAGGACCAGAUACUCCUUGUAGAUGUCCCGGAUGUUGUCUUAAAGAACUGCCGCAUGUUCACCAUUGUUACAGCAGAGGAUAAAGUCAUGAAAGAAUACUCAUCAACAAUACCUCAGCGAAGUGAUGUGGGUCAGUUACUAUUCUAUAUGCUGGGUGUAAUGAUACAAAAUGUAUCUGAUAAUAACCAAUAUCAAUUAGGAUUAUUUAUUGAGGGAAAUCAAAUUUUGCUAUGCUAUGGUUCUGCUACUGUAUCUGUUGGGAGCAGGGAAGUGGAGAUGGACUUCAAGGUGUUGCAGUUUAUUAAUUUAUUAGAUGUCAACUCACUGAAAAUGAUCUGUGACAGUAUAUUGUCUGUCAGAAACUUCAUUUUAGAGAACAAAUAAAAUUACUUAUCUCCUUGCUUAUUAUAGACAUACCUACAUGU
rnacentral:misc_RNA from 1 species